CCGAAGUUUCUCUCAGGAUAGCUGGGACGGGCUCUGUUUCCGAACGGCUUGUGAUCCCACAGUGAGGCGCAUCAGCAAUGGAGUUUCGUCCGGUAAAGCGAAUGACUAGAGGCACGCGGGGGUGCAAGGCCCUCGCACUAUUCUCAAACUUUAAAUGGGCGAGAACCCCGGCAUUCGUGCUCGAUGCACGGGGCGUCCAACGCGGCCAGCACCAAUGCGCUCCCUGUGCCAACGGACUCUAGACUCUCAUGCAAUUUGUUUCUGGCUUUUGCUUUUGAUGGAAUGUGGUGUGACUCAGGUCUAGUACGAAUCAUCCCGAUCCUCAGUGGGUCAUUUCUGGUAAGCAGGACUGAUAAUGAGGGAUGAACCUAACGUUGUGCUAAGGGGCCUAAACGACAGCUAUCUCUUGAUACCAUUGGAAGGGUGCUGCUGGCUGAAGACAGCAGGACGGUGGUCAUGGAAGUCGACAUCCGCUAAGUAGUGUGUAACAACUAAUCCUGCCGAAGCGAGCAACCCUGAAAAUGGAUGGCACUCAAGCUCUCUCCCGAUGCACAACCGUCGGUGGCAAUAAAGGCUUGCGAAGGAACUGUCAGAACCAUAAGUCUCAAAGCCCCGACGAGUAGGGUGGCGUGCCGGUAAGCACUGAAGGCCAAGACGUGAGUCAGGCUGGAGCUGCCGGUAAUGCAGAUCUUGGUGGUAGUAGCAAGUACUCUGGUGAACAACCUGGAGCUGUGAGGCUUGGACAAGGGUUCCAUGUCAACAGUGAUUGAACAUGGGUGAGUCGUACCUAAGCCAACUGUGAAAGCAGUGACAUCCCGUCAAGGGCAUUGCACACACCAGCACUCUCUCUCUCUCUCUUUAAGCACGUGAAGCUAAGUCUCUCAGCAAUCUUGGAUGUGACUCAAAGAUCGAUCGGGGUUGAACGAAAGCACAAAACUCUGGUCAGCUCUUCUGUCCUAUCGGAUUGGGUUUACAGAGUACCCUCUCCGAAAAGUGCAAGUAGUUCUCUCCAUCAGGCACGGCGAACCUACGUGCCACAGUAUAUGAACCUAACUAACUGGCAGGCUGAUGUUGACGAUGGGCAAAUGAAAGAAAGAGACUCUAAACAGCUGAUGCUCGCCCCUCGUGGCGUGAGGAGGAGCUUGUGCGUGUGUGCUCUAAGCUCGAGAUUGGUUUUAAUGUCUGGCGAAAGGGAACGGGGACUUUGUUCCCUGACCGGUCCCGGCACCCUCGAUGGCUUCCGCCUAUCACCGGUCGGAGUAAUCCGAACCAGGCCACAGCCGCCGGCAGCCGCCCAAGGAAGAGUUUUCUUUUCUGCUUAACGCACGAGGUCAUCCCUGGAAGCAGUUCGGCUGGCGACAGGGUGUCCCGUUGCGGCAGAGCGCCACGACUGUCGUGUGCGUCUUGGUGUUUCUGCUGGUCCGUGAAAACGUGGUCGAGGGGAUCUAGCAAUGGACUUGUAGUCAAAAACGUAGACUCUCUUCUCCUCAAUGGGGUUGAGAGCUUCUGCUAAAACGCCCGACAAGUUCGGGACUGACCGUACCCUAUAUCCGCAUCCGGUAUCCAAGGUUCGUAGCCUCUGCAGUCCCAGACACAUGUAGGUAAGGGAAGUCGGCAAACUCGAUCCGUAACUUCGGGAUAAGGAUUGGCUCUGAGGGCCGAGCUGGGCCGGGCUUGCUUGCAACGCAGUACCUAUAGUGACCGGAGUUUAAGGAGUGUACGGGGCCUAAGUAAGGUCUCCUUCUCCUUCACGGGAGUUGGGGGCACGAACGGGUCUACUGCUCCGCUCCAACCACGAACGGCUGUGACGGCAGGUCUCUGGUCGGGUGCACAUCCAAAUGUUGGCCUCCAGCAUGUCUGGUUGGCGGCAGUGCAUCUCGUCCGACGGCUCCAGCGACUAGCGGCUAACUCAGAACUGUCAUGGACCAAGGGAAUCCGACUGUCUAAUUAAAACAAAGCGUCGUGACGGCCCCUGUUGGGUGUUGACGCGACGUGAUUUCUGCCCAGUGCUCUGAAUGUCAAAGUGAAGAAAUUCACCGAAGCGCGGGUUAACGGCGGGUGUAACUAUGACUCUCUUAAGGUAGCCAAAUGCCUCGUCAUCUAAUUAGUGACGCGCAUGAAUGGAUUAACGAGAUUCCCACUGUCCCUAUCUACCGUCUGGUGAACCAACAGGCAAGGGAACGGACUUGCAUGAACACAGCGGGGAAAGAAGACCCUGUUGAGCUUGACUCUAGUCUGAAUCUGUACGGAGACAUCGGAGGUGCAGCAUAAGUGGGAGGGCCAGGUUGCUUCGGCGGCCACCGAACCGUGAGAUACCACUACUCCCUUCGUCUCCGUACUCCACUCGGUUAUCGGGAGCAAAUACAAAGUGAAUGACGGCGACUGGAUGCUUCGUGGUUGAGUGCUUCGCGGUGUCUUUGCGUUCUCGUCUACGUGCCUUCGCGGGUGCGUGGGUGUUUGCGUGGAGCCCGUGUUCUCUCUUCCACACCAAAGGGGCUCCUGCCUCAUCCUGCUGAGGACAGAUUCAGGUGGGGAGUUUGACUGGGGCGGUACAUCUGUCAAACGAUAACGCAGGUGUCCUAAGGCCAGCUCAACGAGAUCAGAAAUCUCGUGUAGAGCAUAAGGGCCUAUGCUGGCUUGAUCUAGACUUUCAGUAUGAGUACGGACGGUGAAAGCCAGGCCUAUCGAUCCUUUUGACGUUACUGAGUUUAUAGCAAGAGGUAUCAGAAAAGUUACCACAGGGAUAACUGGCUUGUGGCGGCCAAGCGUCCUUAGCGACGUCGCUUUUUGAUCCUUCGAUGUCGGCUCUUCCUAUCAUUGAGUUGCAACCGUCGCCAAGCGUCGGAUUGUUCACCCAUAUCAGGGAACGUGAGCUGGGAUUAGACCGUCGCGAGACAGGUUAGUUUUACCCUCCUGUGGUCUGAAGCUUUGACUAAGUCUAAGCUUGUCGUGUCGCUAUGGAAGUUGUGGCCAGUACGAGAGGAACGUCACAACCGAACCUCUGGUCCCGGACUCGGCCGAGAGGCCGGUGGUCCCAGGCUACGUUCGUACAAGUAAGGCCGAACGCCUCUUAAGCCUGAAACCAUUCCAGAACAUGAGCGACGCUAUCAGCAGUUGGCCUCUACGCUACGCGCUUGCGCGUGUGUGGCAUCGGGUGCUAGCACCUCAGGUCUCCUUGUGGGGCCUGUACAGGUGUAAGCCCGGCGGAUACAAGACAGAGCUGUUGCACACGUGCCCAUCACCCCUCGUGGGCUGGGCACACUCAAGGUCUGGUGCUUCGGUUGAAAACCGCCGGGCUAGGAAUGCCCAUACAGAUCAGGAAAGUCUGUCCAGA
rnacentral:rRNA from 1 species